rnacentral:rRNA from 1 species
AUUGAACGCUGGCGGCAUGCUUUACACAUGCAAGUCGAACGGUAACAGGGUGCUUGCACCGCUGACGAGUGGCGAACAGGUGAGUAAUGCGUCGGAACGUGCCGAGUAGUGGGGGAUAACGCAGCGAAAGUUGUGCUAAUACCGCAUACGUACUGAGGUAGAAAGUGGGGGACCUUCGGGCCUCACGCUAUUCGAGCGGCCGACGUCUGAUUAGCUAGUAGGUGAGGUAAAGGCUCACCUAGGCGACGAUCAGUAGCGGGGCUGAGAGGAUGGUCCGCCAAACUGGGACGGAGACACGGCCCAGACUCCUACGGGAGGCAGCAGUGGGGAAUUUUGGACAAUGGGCGAAAGCCUGAUGCAGCCAUGCCGCGUGUGUGAAGAAGGCCUUCGGGUUGUAAAGGACUUUUGUCAGGGAGGAAAUCCCUAGUGCUAAUAACACUGGGGGAUGACAGUACCUGAAGAAUAAGCACCGGCUAACUACGUGCCAGCCGCCGCCGUAA